GCGACAUACAUAAAAAAUGUCGGUGUAACGCAUGGGCACUCGACCGAGGCUUCAGAGGUCACGGUGUGUGCAGGUAUUUGCUCCGAGUGCACAGCACAAUACCUGAUUUCAGUAAUUAGGCUUGUUAAGGAGCACAGCUCGUUAGUGAAAUCAGGAGGCUGAGUUCAGGGUUGGAGGAAGUGGAGUGUGGACGGCCCGGCUGUCAUCGGGUUCCUUCUGCAACAAAAGCAAGUUAGCGAGUUAGCUGAGAGGAAUGUCCCCUCAGAAACACUUCAUAAUCCCCUGUGUGAACAAGCUAAGGUCAACCAGAACCAAUUACUAUGUCGUAUACGGUAUACAGACACACCUGGAGCUUCUACUCUUAUCCAUUUCCAGGAAAGUUCUGAACAGCUAUACACUUUCCAGAAGCAGCACGAUGGCAUGAUGUCUUAAAGACCCGAAUGAUAUUUUAUAAGAAAACAUACAAAGGUUUAAGAAUAGAUCGAGCUCUAAUGAUGACCCCGACCCUGGAGGCUCCUUCUGGAAAUGAACGUCUGCAUACAGAAAACUUCACCGUGUCAAUUUGUGUUGUUACUAUGGAAACAACAAUGAACUACUGUAGAAAAAAAAAAUCGGACUUCUGGCCAAUCAGAUUUGAGAAUCCGCCACGUUGAAGCCCUACCAGGUUCGGGUAGGGGGGGGGCGUGGCUUGAGGUUUUUCUGAGGUUAUACUGAUUAAAAUAUUCAAUCAUUU